GUCGAGAAUAAUUCACAAUGGACGAAAGUCUGAUGGUGCAACGCCGCGUGGAGGAUGAAGGUCUUCGGAUUGUAAACUCCUGUCAUCGGGGAGUAAGACCUGGCGGUAAAUAGCCGACAGGGUUGAUAGUACCCGAAGAGGAAGGGACGGCUAACUUCGUGCCAGCAGCCGCGGUAAUACGAAGGUCCCAAGCGUUGUUCGGAAUCACUGGGCGUAAAGGGAGCGUAGGCGGCGUGGUAAGUCAGAUGUGAAAUCCCGGGGCUCAACCCCGGAACUGCAUCCGAUACUGCCAUGCUUGAGGGUUGGAGAGGUAGCUGGAAUUCUCGGUGUAGCAGUGAAAUGCGUGGAUAUCGAGAGGAACACUCGUGGCGAAGGCGAGCUACUGGACAACAUCUGACGCUGAGGCUCGAAGGCCAGGGGAGCAAAAGGGAUUAGAUACCCUUGUAGUCC
rnacentral:rRNA from 1 species